AAUGAACGCUGGCGGCAUGCCUAACACAUGCAAGUCGAACGAGACCUUCGGGUCUAGUGGCGCACGGGUGCGUAACGCGUGGGAAUCUGCCCUUGGGUUCGGAAUAACAGUUAGAAAUGACUGCUAAUACCGAAUGAUGUCGUAAGACCAAAGAUUCAUCGCCCAGGGAUGAGCCCGCGUAGGAUUAGCUAGUUGGUGUGGUAAAAGCGCACCAAGGCGACGAUCCUUAGCUGGUCUGAGAGGAUGAUCAGCCACACUGGGACUGAGACACGGCCCAGACUCCUACGGGAGGCAGCAGUGGGGAAGUAUUGGACAAUGGGCGAAAGCCUGAUCCAGCAAUGCCGCGUGAGUGAUGAA
rnacentral:rRNA from 1 species